rnacentral:rRNA from 1 species
AAUUUCCCCUCUAGGGGCGGACCGUGUCGAGGUCCCACUCCGUUUGAUUGUCGGCUCGAUGUGAGUAUGUGAUCCGUUUGCAGGGAGCGGUGUACACUGUCGACUGCGAGUCGUACUUUCGAAAGUUGCUUUCUUCGAACUUCGCUCACGGGUACUAGGGUUGGGCCUCCUCGCGUUAGCACGGAUUCUCUUGUGGUGCGAUGAUAGUUUAGGCACAUUAUAUGAUUUGUUGAGUGUAGUAGCACCGAGACGCUUUCCUAUUGGGGCUGGCGAUUCUGAAGCGAGGAGCGCACGGACUCUCACCACAGUAAAGAUGCACUUGAACUCUGACAGCUCGUGCGCUCUCAGCGGUCUUACCUGUCGGCUCGCGGCUCUAUCAUGAGGCGCGCUGUGCAACGUCUCGUCCAUAGGAUAGUGCGCGGCUUCAACGCAAUUAGUUACUUGAUGCGCCGCGUGUAGCAGAGCUUUGCGAGUGCCGGACCUGCUGAGAAUACGCUAAUCCUACAGUCUUGCGCGGGGGCGGGGUGCCGCGGGCGAGGAGCGCGCGAGGGAGCCGCGAGCGCAUUAUGCAAGUGCGAGGUCGUCUGCGCGGAUUGACUAAGGGAUAUAUGGCCUCUGUCUUGGUUUUCGGUUCUGGCCUCCGCUAUGAGAGUUGAUUAGCGAUUAAUAUUGGCGAGUACUCUCACACACUACGCCGAAGCGAGGUUCGUAGGCGAUGGGGAUUGCGAGGGUCAGGCGAAAGAGAGGAGAUCUCUCUCCUCUUGGUGCCUUGCGCGGUAGUGGGAGGCGACGGAGCGCUGCACGCCUCCCACGCACAGAUCGGCUCGACUCCCUGUCAGAGCCGAUAGAAUGAGUAUGGUUGCUGGCUCAGCCGGCGGGUGGGGUGGGCCGCGGUCUUGCGCCGUCCGAGUCACGCCGGCCGUGACAUUCCAGCGGUACUGCCAGUGGGCGAGCGGGGGGUCUGCUGCUGCGGCCGCUGCCGCGCGUCCGUUUCUGCUGGCGUCCGGGCGCGGCGCACGUACGCACGCGGGCCUCCGCGAUGCACCCCAGUUCGGGCCCUGUGCGUACCCAUAUCCGCAGCCGGUCUCCAAGGUAAGAAGCCUCUGGUCGAUAGACUAAUGUAGGUAAGGGAAGUCGGCAAAUUAGAUCCGUAACUUCGGGAUAAGGAUUGGCUCUGAGGAUCGGGCCAGUCGGCCUGUGCGGGAAGCGGGCCUGGGUUCGGGCGCUGGACUGGGCUCAGAGGCUCUGAGCUGCGCGCGGUGAUGGGUGAUGCCGUCUACCCUGCGGCGCCGACGUCGCCGGUGUCCGCCCAUCCGCUGUGUCUCGCCUUCCCCGGUGGCGGCGACCCAUUCCAAAUGCGGCCUCGCGUCGCGCUGUCCUUGUUCUAUCAGCUCGCCGGUGCGGCGGUGCUUGUGGUCCGGGUUCGCAAAGGCGGCCGGCGGACGAUCACCGCGUCGUUUGGGCCCUCAAAAGCCCCGGCGCGGCGUCCUCUGGUCGCUCCCGGUCCCUCCGCCCGCCGUCCGCGCUAAAGCCGGCGCGGCGGGGCAGCGCGCGUUGGGGAAUCACCGCAGGUUCGCGCAGCGCCGGUCUCGCAGGCGGGACACGCUCAUGCGAGUGGGGGCCAACGGCCGUUGUGCGGCGGCUCGCAUUUCGUGGUGCGGCUCUAGCCCUCUCGCCACUCGUGCCGAGAGCUCGGACCGGCGUGUCUCCGGCCCUUCCGUGGAACGCGCUAGGCUGCGUGGGCGCGGGGGCUCCGGCUCUCUCUAUCGCCGGCUUUCGGCCGGUUAGGUAGCAGCAGCAGUCGUUCCCUCGCUCCAAACCCACUUCGGCUGGCGCCCAGCGAUCAACUCAGAACUGCACGGACCAGGGGAAUCCGACUGUCUAAUUAAAACAAAGCAUUGCGAUGGUCAGAGAUAGAUGUUGACGCAAUGUGAUUUCUGCCCAGUGCUCUGAAUGUCAAAGUGAAGAGAUUCAACCAAGCGCGGGUAAACGGCGGGAGUAACUAUGACUCUCUUAAGGUAGCCAAAUGCCUCGUCAUCUAAUUAGUGACGCGCAUGAAUGGAUUAACGAGAUUCCCACUGUCCCUAUCUACUAUCUAGCGAACCCACAGGCAGGGAACGGGCCUGCGCCUAACAGCGGGGAAAGAAGACCCUGUUUGAGCUUGACUCUAGUCUGAUUUGUAGAGAGACAUCAGAGGUGUAGCAUAAGUGGGAGGUCGUCACAUCAGGGGCUUGCUCCGCGGCCGACAAUGAAAUACCACUACUCUGAUCGUUUCUUUACUUACUCGUGAGACGGAAUCGGAGCUUCCCCACGUGGGAUUGCCUCCUGUUUCUAGCCUAAAGCGGCGGAAGGGAGGGCGCGCUUGGUUUCGGCCUUGCGUUAGCCUGACCGGGCGUUCGCGCCCGCCGCGAUCCGCUCCGAGGACAUUAUCAGGUGGGGAGUUUGACUGGGGCGGUACAUCUGUCAAACGAUAACGCAGGUGUCCUAAGGCCAGCUCAGCGUGGACAGAAACCUCGCGUAGAGCAAAAGGGCAAAUGCUGGCUUGAUCCUGAUUUUCAGUACGAAUACGGACUGCGAAAGCAGGGCCUAUCGAUCCUUUUGACUUUAUGAGUUUUAAGCAAGAGGUGUCAGAAAGUUACCACAGGGAUAACUGGCUUGUGGCGGCCAAGCGUUCAUAGCGACGUCGCUUUUGAUCCUUCGAUGUCGGCUCUUCCUAUCAUUGUGAAGCAGAAUUCACCAAGCGUUGGAUUGUUCACCCAUAAAAAGGGAACGUGAGCUGGGUUUAGACCGUCGCGAGACAGGUUAGUUUUACCCUACUGUUGGCAGUUGUGUCGUUGAUACAGCAGUCCUGCUCAGUACGAGAGGAACGGCAGGUCCGGACAUAUGGUUCCUCUCUUGUUCGAUCGGCCAGUGGAGCGAGCCCUACGUCAGUGGGAUUACUGAAAGCUCUAAGGCAGGAUUAUCGCCCACCGGCUGGGGAGUGACGCGCAACGAUACCGCGUACGGCGCUGCAUCGGUUGAAGGGGUGUCAAGCGAAUUGAGAAUUUUCGGAUUCGUAGAGAUUCGCUCCUCGCUCGUCGCGGCGUGGGUCUUAGAAGAUUUGUAUCCUGUGCAGUUAGUGUGAACUCCCUGGGG